CCCGACACAAUGGAUAAGCGUUAGUAUGUGAAAAAAAUAAAAUAAGAAAAAUAUCGAAGUCCAACGAAAACUUAAAUUAGAAAGUCUCUUAUCAAACGGCACUAUUAAAAGCUCAAACACACCAAACGAAUGGAAACCAACUGUCAUAUUCCUGACUUGGUAUUGUCAUUUCCAUAUGUAGAAAUUGGGGGAUUCAACCUUGUUUUCUAACAAUUUUAACCUCUCAAUGGUAUGACAAUCGCACACACAAAAUAGAGUUUAUUGACAACAAGUUCCAUG
rnacentral:lncRNA from 1 species